AAACAAAGGAGGUGCCAUCUCUGAAGCUAGGGAAGGAGAUGGUGCUGACUGCAACGUUGAUUGGAGGCCUGAAGACAGCGUCAUAGGUAAACCAGUAAAAGGCAAAGAACUGGGUGCUAGAGCUUGAGAACUGCUACUAUAAGGAAACAGUGACGAAGGUGGUUCCGGCAAGCUUGAGCCCUGCAAAUUUGAUGAGCCAGCAGGUGGAGGGGCAUUAAAGUUAGGAUACGGAAUGGGUUGCGGCAGGGAACCGGGCAUAGGCAGCCCAUGAGGAGGCCGAAUCAAAGACUGUUGAUGCAACUGGGGAAGGCCAUUGGGAGGUGGGGUGUAGUAUCCUUGCCAAUACAUUGGUGGUUGAGGUGAGGCUCCCCAAGGAGCAAGAUUUCCACCAGGCUGAUACAAAGGCAUUGAGUUUUGGAAUCCCAUCCCAUGCUGCCCAGGUUGUCCAUUAUGAGAACUAAUGUCAGGCAUUGAACUGCUCACGGCGGGAGGCAAGCCACUAGAUGUUGGGAUCGGGCUAGGAUAAUGAGACUGCAAAACAGAGACAAUCGGGGCAUGAAGACACAUCUCUACAAGAUUACUCUACAACAUCUCCAUUAUAUUCACCUGAAUUAUAGCAGGAUCAUUGUUUAAGGUAGGUGGAGCUGGAGGCUGAACUGGUGGAGAGGCUUUGACUUGCAAAUCCUGCCAAUAACAAGAAGAGUCAGUGCACAAACAGAGAUAGUUACAUCAAAGCAUACGCACAAUCCUGUUUGGAUACCUUGAUAUCGGUUCCACGGAACAAUAUGUACUCAUAAACUUUCUCACUUGGAGGAACUUGAGGACCAUCUUUUUUCCUUCCUUCAGUUCCAAAUGAUCGGACUACAUACGUUGAAAAUCACACAGAUCAGUACAUACUAAGCUUAUUCAAAGAUUCACCAACAGUUUCAAGACUUUGAUUACAAUCUGAUGAGCUUAGAUAGUAGACAUGAGCACAACUUAUUAAUGAAGAUCCAAUCACAAGAGCACACAGGGAUAGAUAGAGCAUAAGAGUUAUACACUACACAUCUAACAAUCCUGAGACGGAAUCGUACCGUUUUGAAGUCCGAUACUGGAUUCAUCGGUGUUGAUGUUGUAAAGGAUGCCUUCGUAUCUGAUCUCGCUCUUGGAAGUCAAACUAAUCAAGCUCCCUACGUAAGAAUCUGCCGAGGAGGAGCUCGAUUUCGCGCCCGUGUUAUCAGUCGCCAUACCGGAUCUAUAUCUCUCUCUUUCGCCAAAUCCACAAACAAAGAGAGAGAGAAAUAAACCAGAGUCGAGAAAGGGCAAAGCAAAGAUCCCCUUCGAGAGAGAAAGCUACAGACAAUUAGGGUUUACUCUGAUUUGGGGGAGAUGAGAUCGAGAGAGAGCAUCUCUUUCUGAUUAUCCGUAAAAAAACCCCCAAGAAAAUAUGUAUAUUACCAUAAUAGCCUCGUCUAGUAACACUAGCUUUCAUCUUCUAACUAAUUGUAGACCGCCACGUGUCUAAGUACGGAGGGCCUCGCCGUCAUUCACCAAUGAUGUUCUCACAGCCAGUGGGCUACGAGCCACUCCAAUUGCACGGCUCGUGUUCGUAUUGAUUAGCCUGUAGGCUGUAUUUACAAGUGUAACCCUGUUCCUGUGAAUAAUUUACGCUCGGAGCCUGUGUUGAUUGGUUCCGUAAAACGACUGCGUUUAAGCUUAGCGACAACCACGAAGACGCACAACAAAGCCACUGAUUAGCCUUUUUCUUAUGAAGCAUUGUGCUUUAACAUUUUUUUUUAAUAUUCAUGCUGCUUUGAUACAUAACCUAUUGUUUUCUUGUAUUGACUUUUCUUGUAAAGAGCUUAUCUUCCUGUUCAAUACUGGCAACUCAGGAGAAGACCAAUACAGUUUAAUGAGGCUAACUAAAUAAAGACUUUUUUUAUUCACUGAUCUUUGUUGUUCUACAAUUACACAAACCGAGAAUGACAAAAGAAUCAACGUGUAUUGCAAACUGGAAUACAGUUCAUCAUCAUGUUCAGAGUUCAAAACCACUCCGUAUCUUCCAAGUAUAAUGGUUCUUCUGUCUCCUUGUUAAGUACUAUACACAGAAGGAGUUUACUUCACUCUGCUCUACUGGGAGAUAGAGAGAGUGAAAGUUAGAACGGACUGACCCAGUGAGCCAACUUCAACAUGAAUUCAGGCACAAGACGCCUUCUGUCUACGCUUUUACCAACCACUUCUGAGUCGCCUCCCAGGACCACUGAUACUAUAUCUUCAAACAUCUCAUCUACUCCACCUCUCAUUGGAUCCUAACAUAUAUAAACCAAGUUUCUAGAUCAAAUAUUCAGGUUCUUUUACGAAUAGACAUUCAAGACCUGCCAUUUUGUACCUGAAGAAACAGAUCCGUGUGUGUUUUCCCCUCGUAAAGGAUCACUUCUGCUUUACCUCCAAGUCUCUGGAGGGUUUCCGCAAAAGAUUUACUACAAAAAAAAAAAACAACGCACGAGAAGUUCAAUCACCAUAUCAACCACCUGAACUACAUGAGACAAGACAUGCACACACAAGGCUAUUGAAGUUUAGCCAUACCUUGCAUCUGAAGGGAUGGAGUAGUCAGCAGUACCAUGGAAUAGAAUAAUAGGUGGGAGACGAGCAAUAAUGUGUUUAAGAUUUGGAUUUUGCACUACUAGUUCAGGAGAAAACUGACUUAAUGAUUCCUCUCCUUCCAUGAUGCUGCGGAAAACAAAAGUCACACGUUAAACCUUAGGUUGCUCUACAGGUCAGGUGAGCAUCUUAAGCUAUUCCAAGAUUUGAUAUUAUACCUCAGGAAAAUGGAACGAUAGAGUCCCCUGCUAUGGAAGUGAUCUACAAGGCUCAGAAGGUUGUACCUGUAAAUCAUGAUCACAGAAAUUUCAAAGGAAAGUAAAACAGAUAAUUGUUAAGUGUAAAACAUUUUCUAUAACUUCUUAGUCUUUAGUUGGAUAUAAGACAUGAAUCUACUUGCUUCAUUAAGCUGCUCUUUGAAAUAACGCUAUGCGAUUAUCUACAACCAUUUCACGAAAAUUACUCGAAAAUAAACUUGUUUAUAACAGCUUAUUGAGACGUCUCAAUUCCAUUAUUCCAAUGUCAUUAUGAGAACUCACCAAAUGUCUGGAAUCAUACCAAAUACCGUUUGUCAAAUGUCAAUGAGUUUCUCUUCAGAUUCUGGAACUAAUUAUGUCCAGCCUGCUUUUUGACCGAAGAAAUAUACUAUAGAUUGUACCUCAGUAUCUAGUUUACGUAGCUCUGAGAACCUAGGCCUUGCAUUUUGGGAAUCUCGGUCCCCGGAGUUUGAUGAUAGGCUAUCGAAAAAGUCGUCUUUGUUGUAAACAGGCUACAUCAAUAAAACAAUUAAGGCAUAUGAGACCAGAGAGGGGGAUGGAACAUGGCGGUUUUACUUUAUUAUAAGUUUACUUGACUUACUUUGACCUCGACCUUAGGCAGCUCAGGUUCAUCAACGAUUGGGAAAUCAUCAUCACCAUCACCAUUGGUGCUCUUCCCAAGAUGACCCCAAACUUCAUCCUUAUUGAACUUUUCAUUCAUCGCCGUGAAGUCAAAAUCUUCAGUGAACUUCAUUACCUGGUGUGAUCGCUGCCAACAAGGAGGAUUAUUAGCAUACUUGGCUAUGAUUCAUGAGCUUACUUUAACUAGUAGAUGUUAGCAAAAACCAUUAAAUGCCUCGACACAUUCUAAAAAUGAGAGAGAAGAAUAUUACCCCUGCUCCUCUUCCCCUUCCUCUCCCACGUCCCCUGUAACCAUUAUAGGUUGGGAAGGAAUGCCCGUUUGGCUGAGAAAAAAAAAUCAGCAAACGAGAUCAACUAAUCAUCAAACAAUGAAGACUUGUAUGUAGACAUUCAAGAAGAAAUCUAAUACAGACCAAGGAAGGAACCAAGAGAGAUUUUCAUGCCUCUUUUACAAAGAAAAAAGAGGCUUAGGAUGGGUAUUACCACAGGUGCAAAUAUAACAGCUACAGGUUAUUCAAGCAAAUGGAAGAUCAUAUCAAGUUCGUUACUCCUCAAAAAAAAUUCUCUAGAAUUCAAGGGUCGUUCUCAUAUCAGUAAGUGAAGUAGCAAAUAUCGUUUAAAGGGAUGACAAGCAACUAAAUAGAUUUGGAAAUUUGUGUAAGUUCAAAACCUUAUGAGUUGGCCUUGCAGAGGAAGGCAAUGGCAGUAUUGGGGGUUGGGCUUCUGAUGUAACUGAAGCAGAUUGUUCCAAAGCAGCUGAUGAUGAUACUUGAACCACCUCAUCAUCUUUACCAGCGUUGUUAGAGGGUGGGGACAAAGAGACUGACGCAGAUCCAGACUGCAACAGUUGGCCAGGAGUAACCAACAAAGGUUUUGGCUUAUCUUGGCUGAUGGAACUAGAAACUUUAGAAUCAGGAGCAGAUGCUAAUGGUGUUGCCUGUGGCACAGAUAUAGGAUCAGUAACUAGUGGCAAGCCAGCACUUGUAUCAGUGGCUCUAGUAGUUGGUAGAGAAAAGGGAAGCAAAUUAGUAUCCUGAGAUAGGGUAGGAGGUGCAGCAAUAGGAGCCUUGUUCGAAAACAAAGGAGGUGCCAUCUCUGAAGCUAGGGAAGGAGAUGGUGCUGACUGCAACGUUGAUUGGAGGCCUGAAGACAGCGUCAUAGGUAAACCAGUAAAAGGCAAAGAACUGGGUGCUAGAGCUUGAGAACUGCUACUAUAAGGAAACAGUGACGAAGGUGGUUCCGGCAAGCUUGAGCCCUGCAAAUUUGAUGAGCCAGCAGGUGGAGGGGCAUUAAAGUUAGGAUACGGAAUGGGUUGCGGCAGG
rnacentral:lncRNA from 1 species